CCUACGGGAGGCAGCAGUAGGGAAUCUUUCACAAUGGGCGAAAGCCUGAUGGAGCAACGCCGCGUGCAGGAUGAAGGCCUUCGGGUUGUAAACUGCUUUUAUAAGCGAGAAAUAUGAUGGUAACUUAUGAAUAAGGAUCGGCUAACUACGUGCCAGCAGCCGCGGUCAUACGUAGGAUCCGAGCAUCAUCCGGAGUGACUGGGUGUAAAGAGUUGCGUAGGUGGCAUAAUAAGUAGCUAGUGAAAUCUGGUGGCUCAACCAUUCAGACUAUUAGCUAAACUGUUAAGCUCGAGACCGUUAGGGGUAACUGGAAUUUCUAGUGUAGGAGUGAAAUCCGUAGAUAUUAGAAGGAACACCAAUAGCGUAGGCAGGUUGCUGGGACGGUUCUGACACUAAGGCACGAAAGCGUAGGGAGCAAACGGGAUUAGAUACCCCUGUAGUC
rnacentral:rRNA from 1 species